rnacentral:sRNA from 21 species
AAAAAAAAUGGGCGCCAACACGCCCAUCUUCUUUUUACCGGUGGUCGCGCCUCGAGCCGCACCUUAACUAAUAAGACGUGUGCCCAGCGACUGCGAAAUUAUAGCGUUUU